GUUUGUUUACAAUCUCAAACAAAAGCGAAUUCAUUUAUUCCUUUGAAUUUUUUGUAAUCGGUGAUAAUAGUUCGGAGUGAUUGAACUGCAACUAAAAAGAUUUGCAUUGUAAUAAAGGAUCGGACCAAAGAGAAGUCGGAACGAAUUGCAGCCUGGUCAUCAUCUGGCCCUACAGACUCCCACGGACUUCCAGCGUACUCUCCCUUCUCUGCUCAACUCGGUGAACUCCGGGCCGUUUCAGGUAUUUUAGGACCUACACUUCACAAGGAUUGCUCGUAGUUUUAAUUGUUGUUAGAGACAAUCUGUGGAUACCAAC